GAUGAACGCUAGCUACAGGCUUAACACAUGCAAGUCGAGGUACCGGCGCACCGGUGCGUAACACGUAUCCAACCUGCCCUUUACUCGUCGAUAGCCUUUCGAUAGAAAGAUUAAUACCCUAUGUAAAGGAUGGGGAUGCGUUCCAUUAGGUUGUUGGUAAUGUAACGGCUCACCAAGCCUUCGAUGGAUAGGGGUUCUGAGAGGAAGGUACACGACAUUGGAAAUGAGACACGGUCCAAACUCGUACGGGAGGCAGGAGUUAGGAAGAUUAGUGAAUGGGCGGUAGCCUGAAACAGCCAAGUAGCGUGAAGGAUGAAGGCUUAUGGAUCGUAAAGUUCUUUUAUAUAAGAAUAUGUAUUAUAUGAAUAAGGAUCGGCUAACUCCGUGCCAGCAGCCGCGGUAAUUC
rnacentral:rRNA from 1 species